AAAUGCUGAAUACAACAGGUGUAGUAGACCUUACAGUGAAAUGCUGAAUACAACAGGUGUAGGUAGACCUCACAGAGAAAUGCUGAAUACAACAGGUGUAGUAGACCUCACAGUGAAAUGCUGAAUACAACAGGUGUAGUAGACCUCACAGUGAAAUGCUGAAUACAACAGGUGUAGUAGACCUCACAGUGAAAUGCUGAAUACAACAGGUGUAGUAGACCUUACAGUGAAAUGCUGAAUACAACAGGUGUAGUAGACCUCACAGUGAAAUGCUGAAUACAACAGGUGUAGUAGACCUUACAGUGAAAUGCUGAAUACAACAGGUGUAGUAGACCUUACAGUGAAAUGCUGAAUACAACAGGUGUAGUAGACCUUACAGUGAAAUGCUGAAUACAACAGGUGUAGUAGACCUCACAGUGAAAUGCUG
ensembl:lncRNA